rnacentral:rRNA from 1 species
GACGAAGGAUGCAAGCGUUAUCCGGAUUCAUUGGGUUUAAAGGGAGCGUAGGUGGUCUACUAAGUCAGUGGUGAAAUCUCUCGGCUUAACUGAGAAAUUGCCAUUGAUACUGGAAGACUUGAGUAUAGUUGCCGUUGGCGGAAUAUGACAUGUAGUGGUGAAAUACAUAGAGAUGUCAUAGAACACCGAUUGCGAAGGCAGCUAACGAAACUAUAACUGACACUGAGGCUCGAAAGUGCGGGGAUCAAACAGG